ensembl:lncRNA
AUGAAUACCUAUGCAUGCUUCAUAUUUCUACUGGCCAUUGGUCUUUCUGCUCAGAUUUCAGAGUUCGAUAUAGACUUCAAAACAAUGGUGAAUACAGUCAGACUGGAUGAAAAUAGGACACUUUUGAACUGCAAAGAAAAUUGCAAGGAGGAAGGACCAUGCAAAUGUCACAACUUCACUUGUUCGGUGAAAAUUACUUUGAAGAAGUGCAUUGAAAUUGGCCUUGGCAAACUCAACUUAAACCAAACUGGAAAUAUCAUCGAAAGACUGUCGGAGCUGGAUUUAAAGCCUGAAAAAGAAAGAAAAGAGAUAUACCAAAGUCUCGCACUAAAAAAGUCUCCUAAAAGCUUCCUCAAUGAAAUUGAGAAGCUCUAUCAAAGAUUAAAUGCAGAAAAAUCUGGUUGAUAUUUAUAUUUAUGUUUAAUUUAUAUCAUAUUUAUGUAUUUAUUCAUUUAUUUAUUCUUAUUGGUAUGAAUGGUUCCAACUGUCAAAUGUAAAGAUUAUACAAUAAAAUCAAAUUUCAAAUCUAAUGUAUGUGUUAAAAUAGUCUCAUUACAAAACUUUUACAUUUACAUUUAGUCAUUUAGCAGACGCUUUUAUCCAAAGUGACUUACAAAUGAUGACAAUAGAAGAAAUCAAAACCAACAAAAGGGCAAUAAUAUGUAAGUGCUGUGACAAGACUCGGUUAGCCUAACGCAGUACACGUAGCAAAGUUUUUUUUGUUUGUUUUCUUUUUAUAAGAAAAAAAAGAAAAUAGAUUAGAAAAAGAAUAGAGAAUACUAGUGUCAGAGGCUCUCUCUCUUUCUUUUUAAGAAGACCAGUAGUAAGAAAAGAAAUAGAAUAUAGAGUGCAAAUGUUAGAGGGUCAAGAAGUGGCACAGAAGUGCUUCUGAAGUGGCGUUUAGAUGACUUUACACAGACUGUUUAAUGAUUUUUAUAGGUGGCAUAAAUGCAUUUACACAGCAAUUACAAACUUUGAAACUAGGGGCUGAGGUGGGUCUUCGCAGGCAUGGCAUUGCACUUUUACACUGAUUUUUUGAGCAGCAAUAGAGCAGCCUUAAACAGUUUGGUAAAGACAUCUAAAUGCAACUUCAGAAGCACUUCUGUGCCACUUUUGCGGAGUAAAAUUUGCAUUAGUAAUGAGGUAAGCUAAAUAAAGCAAGAAAACUAG